rnacentral:rRNA from 1 species
GUCGUAACAAGGUCUCCGUUGGUGAACCAGCGGAGGGAUCAUUACCGAGUUUUCAACUCCCUAACCCUUCUGUGAACCUACCUAUCGUUGCUUCGGCGGACUCGCCCCAGCCCGGACGCGGACUGGACCAGCGGCCCGCCGGGGACCUCAAACUCUUGUAUUCCAGCAUCUUCUGAAUACGCCGCAAGGCAAAACAAAUGAAUCAAAACUUUCAACAACGGAUCUCUUGGCUCUGGCAUCGAUGAAGAACGCAGCGAAACGCGAUAAGUAAUGUGAAUUGCAGAAUCCAGUGAAUCAUCGAAUCUUUGAACGCACAUUGCGCCCGCCAGCAUUCUGGCGGGCAUGCCUGUUCGAGCGUCAUUUCAACCCUCGACCCCCCCUUGGGGAGGUCGGCGUUGGGGACCGGCAGCACACCGCCGGCCCUGAAAUGGAGUGGCGGCCCGUCCGCGGCGACCUCUGCGUAGUAAUACAGCUCGCACCGGAACCCCGACGCGGCCACGCCGUAAAACACCCAACUUCUGAACGUUGACCUCGAAUCAGGUAGGACUACCCGCUGAACUUAAGCAUAUCA